rnacentral:miRNA from 1 species
GACUGUCUGUGUGUGUGUGACUGUCUGUGUGUGACUGUCUGCCUGUGUAUGACUGUCUGUGUGUGUGACAGUCAUACACAGGCAGACAGUCACACACAGACAGUCACACACA